GAGGGGGCGGGGUCGUGAACCGGCAGCCGCCGGGUGGAGGGCCCUGGUCGGCGACUGCGGAGAGGGCUCACCGCCGACGGGGUCCAGCGAGCUGUUGGGGACAGGCCGAGUCCACGUGCCGGCAGAAUGUCCCUGGCUGCUUAUUGUGUCAUCUGUUGCAGAAGGAUAGGAACCUCUACUUCCCCACCAAAAAGUGACACAUACUGGAGAGAUAUCAGAAAUAUAAUAAAGUUUACUGGAUCACUUAUUUUAGGAGGUUCUUUAUUUCUUACAUAUGAAGUUCUGGCACUGAAGAAGGCUCUGACAUUAGAUACUCAAGUGGUAGAAAGAGAAAAAAUGAAGUCAUAUAUAUAUGUGCACACGGUUUCUUUAGAUAAAGGAGAAAAUCAUGGUAUUGCCUGGCAGGCAAGAAAAGAACUUCACAAAGCAGUAAGAAAGGUAUUGGCAACGUCAGCCAAGAUACUACGGAAUCCAUUUGCUGAUGCUUUUAGUACAGUUGAUGUAGAAGAUCAUGAAUGUGCUGUGUGGCUGCUCCUACGGAAGAGCAAGUCAGAUGACAAAAUGGCGCGACUGGAGGCUGUGCGGGAAAUGUCAGAGACCCAUCACUGGCAUGAUUACCAGUAUAGGAUAAUUGCUCAAGCCUGUGAUCCGAAAACUCUUAUUGGUUUGGCACGAAGCAAAGAGAGUGAUCUUCGCUUUUUUCUCCUACCACCUCCUUUGCCGUGUUUAAAAGAAGAUUCUUCAACUGAAGAGGAGCUCAGACAGUUGCUGGCUUCCUUACCUCAAACAGAGGUAGAUGAGUGUAUCCAGUAUUUUACAUCUUUGGCUCUUAGUGAAAGCAGUCAGAGUCUGGCUGCUCAGAAGGGUGGUUUAUGGUGUUUUGGAGGAAAUGGACUUCCUUAUGCUGAAAGUUUUGGAGAAGUUCCUUCAGCAACAGUGGAAAUGUUCUGUUUAGAAGCUAUAGUAAAACAUUCUGAGAUAGCCACACAUUGUGAUAAAAUAGAAGCAAAUGGAGGCCUGCAACUACUUCAGAGGCUAUAUCGACUUCACAAGGACUGCCCUAAAGUACAGAGAAAUAUAAUGCGUAUCAUUGGAAACAUGGCUUUGAAUGAACAUCUUCAUUCUUCUAUAGUUCGCUCAGGCUGGGUUUCCAUCAUGGCAGAAGCAAUGAAAUCUCACCACAUUAUGGAGGCUUCACAUGCUGCCAGAAUCCUGGCAAAUCUAGAUCGAGAAACUGUGCAAGAAAAAUACCAGGAUGGCGUGUAUGUGCUGCAUCCCCAGUAUCGAACGAGUCAGCCCAUUAAAGCAGAUGUCCUUUUUAUUCAUGGCCUUAUGGGAGCAGCAUUCAAAACAUGGCGCCAGCAGGACAGUGAGCAGGCUGUAAUUGAAAAGCCUAUAGAGGAUGAAGACAGAUAUACGACAUGUUGGCCCAAGACAUGGUUAGCAAAAGACUGUCCUGCUCUUCGAAUUAUAUCUGUGGAGUAUGACACCAGCCUGAGCGACUGGAGAGCAAGGUGCCCUAUGGAAAGAAGGUCCAUUGCAUUCAGAAGCAACGAACUUCUCCGGAAGCUCAGAGCUGCUGGUGUUGGGGAUAGGCCGGUGGUUUGGAUAUCACAUAGCAUGGGAGGGCUUCUUGUCAAAAAGAUGCUGUUGGAAGCCUCUAAGAAGCCAGAAAUGAGUACUGUUAUCAACAAUACCAGAGGAAUAAUUUUUUAUAGCGUCCCUCAUCAUGGAUCACAUUUGGCUGAAUACUCUGUUAAUGUUCGCUAUCUUCUCUUUCCCUCUUUGGAAGUCAAAGAACUCAGCAAAGAUUCUCCUGCACUUAAAAAGCUGCAAGAUGACUUUCUGGAGUUUGCUAAAGACAAAAACUUCCAGGUGCUGAAUUUUGUGGAAACACUACCAACUUACAUUGGCAGCAUGAUUAAGCUCCAUGUGGUGCCUGUGGAAUCAGCAGAUUUAGGCAUUGGAGAUCUAAUUCCUGUGGAUGUUAACCAUUUGAACAUUUGUAAGCCAAAGAAAAAGGAUGCUUUUUUGUACCAACGUACUUUACAAUUCAUCCGUGAAACUUUAGCCAAAGACCUUGAAAACUAACAGUUGUCCUCUUCCAAUUUUCGUAUGUGAGUUCAAUGCAAGAAACUUGUUGUUCUAUUUCUCUUUUUAAGCUCUAAGCAAUCAUGCAAACAUAGUGAUCAUAGUGUCAACAUGGUCUGGAGUGUGUUGCAGAUUACAGAACAUUGUUCUCCCUUCGAGCGCUAUAAAGCACCAACCCGGAAAUGGCAGACACAGAAGGAAGGGCUGGAUUGGGUUCCUUUGGUAUACAGGAGUCCCUUUGUGCCAUUUUAUGGUUCCGAGUUUUGGGCUUGGUGACUAGAGCAAAGCUGCUGUGAUAGAGUGUCCUUUUCCAUCUGUGAUUCCUGCUGCAUCCAGGAAGGGCACGGCAGGUUCCAAGGGGAGAGCCACCAUUAACUCAACUUACCAUAAAAAUGCUAGUAGGAGAGUACCUAAAAUGGAGAGAAGAAUGAACGAGAACAUUCAAGACUGUCUUAGCUCUGGGUAUUGAUUUGAGGUAAAUUUUUAAAACGUGUCAAUUUUUUCCUCAUUUCUACCCUUUAUCUGACACAUUAUUACUGGUGUUAACUUUGCUAGACCUAUUCUCAUGCAUGGGUCAGUUCCUUGUAUCUCUUUUAAUAUUGCUGAGAACAAAUCUUUUUCUCUUUUAGAAAAAUUUUAGCUUAUAAUAACUCUUUCUAGGCUGUAGUUACCUAUGCUUGGAAUUUGGCCUAGAUAAGGAUAAAGUAGCUAAUCCAUUAUUCAUCAGAGUAUGAAAUAAAACUAUUCUCAGCUAUUAUAUGGAUUAGCAAUUCGUAGUAUCAGGAUUCUCAGAUUCCCUUUGGCUAAAUAAACCUUUUUUCUUUGCUCCUUUGUAAGUGGUGUUAAUUGACCUCUAUAGCAUGGGAGAAGUAGGAAAUCAUGUUGAUGACUUUUUUUUCUUUAGAGUAACAGCAUUAUUGAGGUAUAAUUUACAUACCAUAAGAGUCACUGUUUUAAAGUGUACAAUUCAUUGGGUUUUUUUGUUUGUUUGUUUAGAGACAUGGUCUCACUCUGUUGCCCAGGCUGGAGUACAGUGGCAUGAUCAUAGCUCAUUGUAACCACAAACUCCUGGGCUCAAGAGAUCCUUUUGCUUCAGCCUCCCAAGCAGCUAGGAUUACAGGCACAUGCCACCACACCUGGCUAAUUAAAAAAAAAAAAAAAAAAAUUUUUUUUUGUAGGGACAGGGUCUCACCAUGUUGCCCAGGCCUCAAACUCCUGGUCUCAAGCCAUCCUCCUGCCUCAGCCUCCCAAAGUGCUAUGAUUAUAGGUCUGAGCCACUCUGCGCAGCCUCAGUUCAGUGGUUUUUAGUAUAGUUCACUGAGUUGUGCAACAUCAUUGCUAUCUAAUUUCAGAAUAUUUCAUCUUUCCCAGAAGAAUUAGAGAAUUCCCAUACCCAUUAGCAGUCAUUUCCCACCGCUGCUUUCCCCAGCCUGUGGUAAACACUAAUCUAUUUGCUGUCUCUAUGGAUUUGGGCAUUUUAUGUAAAUGGAAUCAUACAAUAUAUGGCCCUCUCUGCCUUCCAUUAGCAUGUUUUCAAGGUUCAUUUAUGAUAUAGCAUGUAUCAGUAUGUCAUUGCUUUUUAUGGCCAAAGUUACUCCACUGUAUGAUAUGCCAUGUUUCUUUAUCCAUUCAUCAGCUAAUGGACAUGUAGGUUCUAUUCAUUUUUUGUCCAUGAUAAAUAAUGCUACCAUGA